AUUCGCAAUAUUUCGACAUUUUUCUCUCAAUUGUAAUAGUGGCAUGACGUGUAACGACACUCCUGAAGAUCUUGGGCUACGUCGAGGCUGGGAUCGAGAGUCCACAAUUGCAACGUGAACAUCAGCAGAAAUCGAGAGAGGCCGGCUUCUUUAUAGAGAUCAAUAAAUAAUCGGCCGUGCGCCUUGUGCGUAGUGCGGCUUAUCAAACGCGGUUCGUGUAUUAUAUUGCGUUACUCUUGGUAUAAGCAAGCACGUAGAACAUAAUAUCGUCGGACCCGGCAUUAUUGCAUGUGCAUCGCUCAUCGCGAAAACGAUGAUAUAACCCAUGUUGCUGCGGUUAGAACGAUCGAGCCGGAACCGGCGCUCAGCGAUAAUUUACCGAUAAUUUAAUCCUGUUGUUCAACUUAAAAAGAAUCGCGACAACGAGAGACAGAGAAAAAUAAAUAUAUUUUUCAUUCUUUGGAGGUAGCACAUAUAUAUCGACAAAGAACAAAGACUAAUAGAAAUGUAAUAAUAAUAAAUAUAUAUGUAUAAUAAAGAUAAUAUAAAUUGGAAGAGAUAAAAAUGUAUAUGUAAUCUUAUUAAAUAAUUUUUCUCUGAAAGAAUUAAACAUCCGCGCACGUAUAUUUAUAAUAUCUAAUAAAAAGUUUCAAGUUUUCUUUGUUUUCUUAUGCAAUACACGAAAACGUAAUUUCAGUAUAAUACAUAAAUAUUGUGCAUUUCGAUUAAAAUCCAGGUAAUUUAAAUUUACUUUCUUUUUUCAUUAAAACAUUGGAAAGCCAAGAGUUAAUAAAUCUCUUUCAAUAAAAGUUUAAAUAUUACGAUGUUCUUAUGGAAAAUGGUUUUUAUUAAGAAAAUUAAAAAAAUAAAAAAGGAGAUAACUUUAAUAGAGAUAUUAAAAUUACUUGACACACCCACACACAAAGAGACAUCUGGAACGGCUUUUAAAAAAUAAUUGUCUAAAUGAAUUGCGCGAAAUACAAAAUAGAAAAUGUUUCGCAAUUAUUAAUAUCUACAAUAAUUUUCUUCUUAUCAUUCGUCACAUUAUUUAUUGAUAUGGACUAAAGUUUUGUGCAAUAUUUAUAGUGAAUAACGGGAAGUUGUAACAACGCUCAUAAAAUACCACAUCCGGUUCACAAAAAGCGAAAAGUGUACUCUAAAAAAAAAAAAA